CUCUUUCGCUACACAACGCUCUUCCUAAGUAAGAGUAGAGGGGUUGGGGGCAAUUUAGGGUGUGGGUGUACAAUGGACACCACCUAACCCAGAAAAAAUACAGCCAAGAGCAGAGAAAACCAAACAACAGCCACAACAGAUGGCAAUGAUGUACCUUUCUUCCUA